UACGUAGGGUGCAAGCGUUAAUCGGAAUCACUGGGCGUAAAGCGUGCGCAGGCGGUUAUGCAAGACAGAUGUGAAAUCCCCGGGCUCAACCUGGGAACUGCAUUUGUGACUGCAGGGCUGGAGUGCGGCAGAGGAGACUGGAAUUCCUGGUGUAGCAGUGAAAUGCGUAGAUAUCAGGAGGAACACCGAUGGCGAAGGCAGGUCUCUGGGCUGACACUGACGCUCAUGCA
rnacentral:rRNA from 1 species